AAAACAAAACACAACAGACUCAUCGUUUCUCAUUGGAUCAGUGCUGGGGCUUCAAAGAGGCCUGCUCAUCCCCAUGCUCUUGCGACCCUUUGCCGGAUGCCUCCCUACAGCAGCCGUGCAGAACAGAACUCUUUCUAAAACGUCACCCACAGCAGACGCCAGUGCUUCAGCCAUGGCUUGAACGUUCUCACGUCUCCCACUAUUAUCUGCAUCUGAGUUCUCUUUACUCCCCUUAAACUACGACCGUGAAAGAGAGCGAUUUCUACAUCAUUUAGUUAUUUAUCUCCGUAAUACUCAGGAGUGAAAUUUUUAAAAGUGGCUACCAUUACUCUUGCUGCUAACAAUUGGCAGCUAUCCUGGGGAAGUGGUACGCGGGAUGAAAUGAGCCCCUGUAGGAAACAUGGCCUUUUCUUGUUUCUAAUAUUUUUUCGUCUUUGGUGUCAUCAGUCAAAUUAAUCUAUUUUCUCUUUCCACAUGACUCUCCAAAGUGAGAGAGAAGUUAAGGGUUUGAAGAGGCUGUUCUGGGCUUCCCACUGAACAUGGGGCUUAGGAUGUGGCUGGGCACCUGCUUCCCUUAACCCCUUGAGAUCUGAGAAUUCAGAACCCUUUCCUGUAGCCUAGCAAAAACAAAAACAGGAACAAACAAGGUGGGGGUGGGGUAUGUGGUGGCAUGGGGUGGGGGAUGUAUUACAGAAUACCAGUGCUGGUAUCAUGUUUCUCUUCCCCAUCUCCAUGUCCUAUUCCUCUUCUUCAUUUAUUAUUGUUUUAAAAAAUAACUCAUUGUGUCCAAUUAGUGGUACCUAUUCAUGGCACCAUCCACUAGAGCUUAAAAAAUACACAGACUCUACCUCAUGCUCAUGUAUACUCGAGGGUACAGACCUGACAGUAUACAGAAGACAAGAGAGAACAAUGUAAAGGGCUGAGAGAAAUACAAGUUCUGAGACUUGGGGAGGCACGGUCUCUAUGUAGGAUCCGUGAGUGCCCGGGCAUACUUGGAACUGACACCCGCCGGGACCUACAGGAUGGAGACCUAGCAGGUUAUUGAUUUUGCAGGUGUCUGAAUUUGAAGUGACAAAUUACUUGGUUACAGUCAGCUUUAGUGUUGCCUUCUUUACACAACUACACUAACACAUUUCUAGGCAACUUUGAGGACUCUUAAAAUUAAAACGUUUUAUAAAUAACAAAGCCACAGAGGGAAAACCAGGUGUAUUUACUAUUAUCAAAGUUCAUCUCCAUGUGCGUGUCUGAACAUAGCAACAGCAGCACAGAGGGAUCGCCUCAGUUACCCUGCUCCUCUGGAUCAUUUAGCUGCUGGCUAUGGUAUAGAGCUUCCAUGGUAUAGGACUUCUAUGUUCUAGAACUCCCAUGGUAUAGAACUUCUAUGGUAUAGAACUUCUAUGGUGUAGAGCUUCCAUGGUGUAGAGCUUCUUGUUCCAUCUCUGACUCCUUCCCCUUGCCCUCUGCUACAUGUGCUAUUCCCUCCAUCCCAUGCCAUUCAGAGAACACAGCCCUACACUCCUGCAGAGGCAGACUCAGGUACCUCACAUCUCUGUGUCUAAUCCCUUUGGGGGGGGGGUGAGGAUACACAGCCACCAAGUCUUGUGAAGCUAUGCCAGCCAUCUCAGCCAUUCCCCCGACACAUUCGUGACAUCCUCCUGCCGUAGAGGCUGAGGAUUUAUGUGACUUUAAUUGAAGGCUACAGAAGGGACAGGGAAACAUCAGCUCCUAUCAAUCACCGCGUCCCUUGCUUUCAUUGUGUACUUAACAGCUUGUUACUUAUUCAGGAGGGGGAUUCUGCACUGAGUCUGUCUCCGUGCAAACAGUCUUCCCAGGCUGAAGAAAGCCCUGAAACAGGGAGGUGGCCUCAUUAGGCACACAGGCCUGUGCCGCAUACCGAAACAUGGAGACACAGUGCUGAUGACCACGACUACAGUGGGGGAGUCAAGGGUUCCAGCAUCCUCCCGCUUUCCUGUCUAUGUCCCCGCAAGACUUCCCAGGCGUGUUUGACACCAUGGCCCUUUGUUGUGUUUUCAAAGCGAUCCUUGCUUGGCUCUUCUCAACAAUGAACUCUGCGACUGUUUAACUGAAAUCUCCUAUGGGGGGAACUUGAUGUCUGGUUUACUGUGCUCUCUUACAGAAUGCCUGCAGCACAGCAGACCCCUGAAGGAGCGAGCAUACGGCUGCAUGCACGUGAGGAAUGCUAACACUCAGUCUUGGUUCUGACUCCCCUUUUACCUUACGCCUCUACGCCAUCUGUAGAGGCUUGAGGACCCUUCAUCUUUAUCUUUUCUAAGGGCCAUCCUUUAGGGGGCUCAUUCAAGACCCAGUACGGUUAUCACCCGGCUCUCAGGUACUGCCUUGGCGUGUGAUGCUGAACUGUUCCUCCUGACCCCCAGGCAGAUCUCAGUCCCAAGUUUACCCGCCCAAGGUUUUGCUUCCCAACUUAGCUCAGCCCACUACCCUGGUGGUCGAAGUUAGGUUCCUACUUGCCAGUCGUUUCCCACUGAGCUACUGAUGUGUCUGACCCUGCGGACAGGCUCUUCUGUGAACCAAGGAAGAUGUCACCUGGGAACCAGUUAGAGGUCGCUUGGGCCUUUGUGUGGUCUUUAAAAUAAGGGGGUUUGCAAGCCAAUGAUGCGUAUUUUCUUAAUCCGUUUCACACAGAAGAAGGGGUUUUAGUGUGAGAUUUGCAAUCUUGUUCUUCAUCUAUUUCCCUAUUUCAACCUGACUACCUGGUUCAAAUUACCAACUGAUACCUGGGUAGGUUAUCAUGCAGAGAUAAGUGCCCCCUGCCCCACUGCGCCCCCAACAAUGGAGCAAACAUGACGGUCACCAUACAUGUGACUUCAGUAGUCCCUGGUGGGUGGGCAUGGAGUGACAGUGACCAUCAUGAGCCAACACAGUGAGCCUACAACCUUGAGCUGAAUAUACAAGGUUCCCAUGGGUCUGACACGCCCCGGGGAGUUUCCAUUCCUCUGCCCUAAACCUCUAGGGUUACUGGGAAUUUCUCCAAGGGCACAGGGAAGUGCUUGUGCUUGGAUUCAGAUUCCCCAAACAACAAGGAAAAAACCCAGGGGGCUCAGCGAGCCCCUCUGGAGGUCUGAACAGGUGAGACUGGCAGCUCUGCCUUGGGUUCCACUGGUGGUGGCCGAGUUGGCAGCCAUAGAGAUUUGCUGUGGCAGAAUACUUAAAGAUGUUCACACAGAGGGACAGAAGGGACAGUCGUUCAUUGUCCUCCUAUGGGACUCCAUCACUUGAAAAGUAAGGCCUAGAAAUUACAAUAUCAGCCGACUUCCAUACAUCCAUUUCCUUCACAAUGGUUGGCAUAUGCUGAGAAGGGAAUGCUCGGAGGGGCUGCUCACCACCACCCGGCCUUGCAAAGAACAAGGACACAGGAAGGAAGAAACGCAAUCACUAGCCCAAGGAAGAGACACCCAGGGAUGGGCACCAUUGUGUAGGAUGAGGUGAGGGAUAAUACAAAUUAUGAUUUCAGACCCUGGUAGGCAAGCUACACCAUGUUCUUUUCACAUCUGAAUCUCUGUACAGCAUGUUCUUGGUGACUACAGUCAAGGUCCUUGGAACACUCACAGUAGCUUACUUGAGUUUUUAAAAAGCCAGGUAUAAAUAUCAAUGCUGCUGCAGAGUACGCAGAAUAAAAUUUAACAUCUUUUGAGGGAGUCUUACUUCUGAGGCGCUGUUUGAAGUGCUUUAAGUGUCCUAUCUCGUUAGAUUUACAAUUCGCCAUCCUGUGAAAUCAGUCCUGUGGUCUCUGCCCUUUGCCAUACGAUCACAGACAGGCCCUGGGCAUGGCAAGUUUCUGGGAACAUACAGAUACUGAGCCAUGAAGUUGAGGGAGACUCUUCCCUUCCUUCUUUCCUUCUGAAGAUAAGGAGGGUCUCCCAGCAGCUGGGCUCUAGCUCACCCCCACUAUCCUCCUGGUUCAGCAGGUCAAGUACCAGAAUAAGGAGGCUGGAGCUUAGCUGACUGCCCCAUCUCAGGAGAACUACAGAGCAAGCAUCAGGAAGACAGGCAUAUACUCUGAGCCACAAGAGGAAGCCAGCAGAGAAACCUGUGUGUCCCACACAGAAUAGCCCUUGGAAAAGUGGUUUUACAUCAGGUCAGUUUCGCCUUUAAUGUGUUUGUUGGCCUCCUGCUGAGACAGAAUAGGUUCACCUUGUGAGCAGGCAAGCUCAGGCUGCCAGCCCUCAGCUCUUCAGAGCCACCCAGAGUUUUCCCAGGGCAAAGGCUUCCUGUCUCCCUCCCUUCAGUGUCCCCUACCUAGCUCUCAUGGUGGCAGCCUCUAUACCUAAAAUAUCAUAGUGCCUCAUGUCCCCCCAGUCCUCUCUGGGUUCCCUUAGUCCCCCCACCCCCGACCCAUACGCCCUGAAACCCAGCAAACCUGACCCUGCCUACAGUUGCCCAAUUGACGCAGAGCACAGUUCCGAACCCGUUCUCUCCCAUGCCUCUUUGGAGACUUUUCUUCCCUGUGAGCCACUCCGAGGCUACCACUCACACCUGUUUCAGUGUACCAGGCUGGCACGAUGCUUCAUGUCCUUUGUGGACACAGUGUGGCUUCUUUGGAAGCUUUUUUCAGAAUGGUCUAUGAAACGCCCCACUCCCCACAGCACCAGCCCAGCCUCAGCCUGGCUAUGGAAGCUGGGUGUGUCUGGGGUCCUGCAAGCGGUACCAGAGAGGCAAGGGUGGGAAAGCACCUCCCCCACUUUCCAGAGGCCAAUCAUUGUCUAAGGUAACCGUGAUUCCAAGUACAUGCCCUUUCACAGCUGGCCCACAUUCCAGGACAACAUCCAACAGAGAGCAGAGCCCUUCCAAAGGCAGAAUGAAUGGCUUUCCCGGUAUUAACUCCCUGGUGUUUAAUGUCCGUGGACUCUGCAGAGAGCCACCUCCGAGAAUCCUGCAGGCAUAAUUGCCUUUCUUGCACUAGACCAGACCUCCGCAUCUCAAUGUGGUUGUGGGGCACUGCCCAGAAUUAAGAACUACAGGAGUCAAAGAGACACAGCUGGAUUACUGACCCUAGAAGGACGGGGCGGCCUGCCUGCUCCAGACCUUGCUGGGAGCCUCGUCCUCAUUAAUGGUGGAAACUGAAGAGUAAUACUCCAUUUCACUAGGGACUGUUGUUAAAACAAGUCUCAAAGAGGAUAUAAGGAAUGGAACCAUUACCAGACCUGCAACCCACUGAUGAUGCAGAAGCCACUCGGCCAGGAAAACAAGAGAAGGGGCAACAGAGAAGUGAGAGGUGAGGGAGAGGCUUGCUUGGGGUAUGCUGGGUCGGGGCUCACUGGGGUCGGGGCUAGCUGGGGCCAGGCCGAGAAACAGAAGCUGUGCACUGAAGGCCAGUGUUGUGAUGAACUAAGACAGUCCUUUCAGUUCCACUGGGAAACAGUUUCAAGUGGCCAUCACCAUCUGAAGGCCAGGUAUGGGAACUCAUUUUUUCUUCAGAGUGUGGAAUGGGUGCCAGAACCCUGACAACUGUACACCUCAGGAAUGGCUGCCGUGGAGAGUGGGGUGCUCUCCUCGCAGCUUAGUGCUGACUACUCCUGAGGCCUGGGCUGGGUUCUGGGCUGGGAACCUAUAAGCCAAUCCACCUUUCUGGAACACAGAGAGCAUGUAUAAGAAAGCCAGAAUACUCUCCCAGACGUCACUGGAACCAUCUACUGUGCUGCGGUGACAGAGGCCCUGCGAUGUCUGACCCCUCAGAAACUCUCGCUGACUUCUGCCAUGUUCACAGUGAAGUCUGCCCUCCCAGAUGCAAAUCUCUGAAGCCAGAAAACCCCUCCAGGUUUCUCCUUUUCAAACUGUGGCCAGAGGGUGGCAAUCAAAACUAAUUCAAUAGGACACACCGUGGGGAGGGGAUGGGGCUGCAUGCACAGACAGGUACAGUACUGAAGUCGAAUGAGUUUUCACAAGACUGACUGUUUCUGAAGACAUAUCAAGAAAUGUGUUCUGUGGAAGAGGAGCUGGGCAGCCCUUUCCUGAAGAAAGAGACAGACACGUCACAGGAGAUGGGACAGCUGUGCAUUUGCCCCAUGGGACCAGCAUGACUUCCCACCUGGCUGAGUGCUCACCACACAGGUGAGCCUGGCUUCUGGCUCAUUCCUGUGUGUGCUUGCGAUUCUUGUGUAUCUUAAGCUUCUGCAUGGUAUGGAGCGCUGACCAGGAGGUUGGUACUAUCUAUUGAGUCAGUUAAUGAGCCUGGUCACUCCUCCUAAUGUCCUGGUUCUGACACAACCUUCUGUCCCUGCAGAAGGCUUCAUCUUGGCAGCAGGUGUGGACUCUUCUUGCCAGUGUGGCCUGACCAGAGACAUUUCUACCUCCUGUUAUUUUCUAGAUCCCCGUGAGUGCUCAUCAUCCAACAUGAGGGCCAGCACUGCAUCUUCUGAGACAAGGCAGAUGGGGAGAAGUUCAAGGGGACAGUGUCACACUGUCUGUCUGGAUGCUGUGUGUCCUCCCAAGGCAAUCUCUAAGAACCAUGCCAAGGCUUCUUAAAAAUGUCCAGCUCAGGUUUCUCCACAUGGAGGGAGUGAAGUUCAGGCCUUGAGCUUUUACUAAAGAGUUUACUUUUUUAUUGACUAGUGAAGCAGGCUCCCUUAGGGUUGUCGAGGCCAGGGAAGGGGGAGGUAAUUUUAUGCUUAUAUGGUGUCCGUUAGUCUCUGGGUGCCAUGACGCCCUCCUUCCUAACCAUGGAGCUGUGCUCUGUCUUAAGAGUAACUAAGGGCUCACAGGGAGGUGCCAUUCACAUGGGUGAAUUUGAUCCUCACCAUGUGAGGUACCUGUUCAGGGCCUGUUCUUCUGUUUCCUAGCUUGCCUUCCUCAUCUACAAUCUGUGGAUACUCUCGACGCCUACCUCUGUACUCACGCCAACAAGCUGGUGAGUUCUGCCCAGGGAUGGAGACCCAUCUGCAUAGAGAGCUGCUCUGCUGAGCUACCAAACACUCCUUCCACCUUGAUACACUCGGGAGGCUCCGAUAACUUCCAGGACAGCACAGGAUUUGAACCUUGUGACUAUGGAUGGUAUGCAGCUAGUGAGAGCGACUUCAUCCUACAGUGGCCAUGAGAUGAUGGAUGGACAGCAGAUGCUAUCAAUCUAUGGAUUCUCUGAACUGAAACGACCAAGCCUCUUACUAAGAUUGCUGCAGUUUGGAAUUCGAUAUCUUUUGGUAUCAAACCUACAAUGUGACUGUGAAUUACUGUUUCCACGUGGGAAGAUGAGAAUGUUCCCCCUGGUACUUCCUACCACAGUGAUUUCCCUCAUGCAUGGAUGAAGCAAUAAAACAUAUGAUGGGUUGGAACUCUGAAAAUGUGAGCCCAGGUAAACCUUUCUUCUUUUUAUGUUUGCGUAUCUCAGGUAUUUCAUCACAGUGAUGGCAAGUCCACCAACACAGGAUAGUAAAUAUUACACACCUAAACAUCCUCUUUUGCUAUUGAGCUUGGGAUCUAUAGAUCUUAUUAUUUUUUUUUUUUUUAGAUAAUAGAUCUUUCUACUUUCUUGAUCAUGGAAAGACAUACAAUAUCGUAAAAUCUAGAGACUUCUACUUAUAACCUAAUCGCUCUUAACCCACAAGAGUUAGUUCUUGGGUUGGAAGCUCCAACAGCUUCCCUACACCACCUACAAGGCCUCGGAUGCAGAAGCCUGCUGAUAAUGUCCACCUUCAAGACAAUAGCUGUAAGUCCUCCGCCUUCUGGGACAUUUGGAUGGAGACUGUCUUAGUUAAGGUUUUCACUGCCGUGAUAAAGACCAUGACCAUAAGCAACUCUGGAAGAAAGAGGUAACCCCAGUUCAUAUGUCUCAGGGAUACCAGGACAGGGACUUAAGGCAGGAGCCCAGUGCAGGGGCUAAAGCAGGGGCCAUGGGGGACUGCAGCUUACUAGCUUGCUCCUCAUGGUUUGCUCAGCCUGCUUUCUUAUAGAACCAGCCCAAGAGGUAGCAUUACCUACAAUAACCUGGGUGUUCCCACAUCCAUGUUCUGUUCUAUUGAUAUAGACAGUCUCGGUAAUAGCAACACUUGGAACCAAACACUGCUCAGAAUAGAUUAUGUAAGACCCCUUCCUUUAAUCAUGACCCUGUAGGAGGCAGGAAAGAUUAAGCUGGGGCCAAAGAGGCAAGGGCCAGAAUGGGGAGAGACUAGCUCACAGUGAGGUAUUAUGGUAUACCCACUGGAAAGGGUCAUGGUGCCAAGUGUAGGUGAGGGUGUCAUACAGUGUGAGCUGUCAGAUGCUGAUACUGAACAUGAACAUGAAAAGAAGAAGUAGCUAUUAUGGAGUAAAGAGGAAGAUCCAUCUUAUAUAUCAGUAGCAAGAAGUUGAUAUUAUGUGCAUCCUGGGGGCUAAAUAAGAAUGUGCCUAGCAAUACUGUUUACAAUCAACAACAACGUUACUACCUUAUCAAGUUGAUGCUAUUCAGUAACCACAAUGAAUGGACUACAGUUACGAACACCAGACUGGAUUAGCAGCAGUCACUACUCGUGCACAGUGACUGAGCAAUGGGCCAUGAGUACAGAGAGGAAAUGAUGUUCCUUAAUUGAAACAUUUACAUGCAUCACAUGUGUGUCUAUGGAGGCAAGAAGAGGACACUGGAUCCCUGGAACUUAAGUUGGGAGCUGCCUUGUGGCUGCUGGGAACUGAACCCAGGACCUCUGGAAGAACAGCCAGCGCUCUUAACCGCUGAGGUAGUACUACAGCCCCUGACUUUUUAAUUAUAUUUAAUGUCAAUGACUUUAAAUUUAAAUAACCAUAUUAGCUAGAUAUUUACUAUGUUGUGGACUUGGUAUGACAGUGUAAAACAGCCAACUUACAAUUUCCUAUUUACUACAUGUUAAAAUGACAAUAUUUGUGCUAUCCUAACUUAAAGAGUUAUUCUACAUCCACACUUUGUUUCUAUUUAGCAUGCCUAUUAUCAAUGUUCUGAGAUGUUUUAUAUAUGGCUCAUAUUAUACUACAGGCUACAUUUGUUUCUGGGAUGAUUUUGCUGGGAGGUAUUCAAAACAGAAGAAAAAGGAAAAAUUAUUACUAUAAGAUUCUCUUUCUCACAUAUGGUAUGUAUGUAUGUAUGUAUGCAUGUAUGUAUGUAUGUAUGUGUUACACAUCUAACUCAGAAGUCAUGGACAUCAUGCUAGGGAAAUACACUGUCACAGACCACAUCCCAGUUCAACAGUCUCUAUUUCAGUGGAUGAAGCAGCAGGCUGUGAUCAGAACAAGGGUGCUGGCUACUGUCUAGGUCUAGACUUGAUUGGUGGCUUCACGAACUUUUGCUUUAUAACAAUAUGUGAAAGCAUCUGCCUUCAGGAUGUUAUGCUGUGUGAAGCACCGUGUGCAACAGAAUAAAAAGGCAACCACCGUGAGACUCUGGCCCCGAGGUUUAGCGGCAGGAAACUACACAAAGAAAUAGAAUGGCCAUUAUUUGGGCCUGGGAUGAGUGAGGGACAGAGGGCUUUUUUAAGAAACUCUAUGCAGAGGUUCAUGUUUGCAAGAUGAAAAGAAUUCUGAAGACGGGUGGUGUGAUGGCUGUUCAGUUGUGCGAGAAGGCAAAUGCUACGCUGUGUGUAGUCCAUACAACUCAGAAAGCGUGAGUGCACUCAGUCCAUCUCCUCCAUCUCUACUCUAACCCUGACUCCUCCAUGGAAACGUCACCUUCAAGGAUGGCAAGGACACACACGGAGUUCCAGCCCUGAGUCCUUUGCUGGAACCAUGUCCCUGGCAUGGCUUGCUCCCUUUCGCUUGUGGGGUAUUGGCAGUAGUAACAAGGACGCUACUUUGGUGAUGGAGAAGUCACACAUUAUUGGCGUCUAUUUGCCAGACACUGCUAAGAAUUAGAAAGAGGUUCUGACAUAUUCUUGUGGUGUUAAAAUAAGAGUGAACAUCGAGAACUGAAUCUGCCUUCUAGGAAGGUACAAUUGUUCCUUGGUAUACGGUGGGGUUUGGUCUCAGAACUCCAUAAAUGCUCAAAUCUAUGGAUAUUCAUAGUCUUUCUAUAAAAUGUGUACAUUUUGCUUGUAACCUAAGCAAACUCUCCUGAGUACUUUAAAUUGGCUCUAUGGGGUACAAUGGAAUCGCGAGGUAAAUCGCUGCUCUCCCUUACUGUUUCUGGCAUAAUGACUGGAAAUUUGCACCCCUUCAGUAUAAGCACAAGUUUCCCUCCCAAAAUUUCAAUCUGAGGUUGGUUGACUCCUUCGAUGUGCUGCCUAGCAAGAUGGUGAGCUAACACUAUAAACAGGCUAGCCUCCAGAAGGAGCCAGCCUACAGAAAUCACAGGGAGGACCUUUACCAGUGGAAAGCAAGGUGGUUAUUGUGGGUGUGCUGUUUAGUGCCAAGUGUCAGCUUGGCACAGAUUAGAGUCACCUGGAAAAUGACCUCAGAGUGACUGCCAAGUUAGGUGGGCCUGUGAGCAUGAGAUGAUGUUAAUUGAUGUGGGAAGACCCAGCCUAGAGUAGGUGCCACCAUUCUGUGUUUUGGGAUCUCAGACUACGCAUGCAUGAGCUCGCUGUCUCCCUGCCCUUGAGUGUAGGUGUGGCCAACUGCUUCACUGUUCCCUGCCUUGGUUUCCCCAUAAAGACACUGUGACCCAGAACUGUGGGCUGAAACAAACCCCUUUUGCCACCAACUUGCUUUUCCUGUGGUAUUUUAUUAUAAUAACAGAAAGGGAAGGAGGCUAAUCCCUCAUCCUUCUAUAGGUUUGUGUGAAAAGCAUCCUUGCUAAAUAGCAAUUUAAUAAAUAGGAGGGUAUAUAACACACACACACACACACACACACACACACACACACACACACACACACACUGAACCACCAUGGAAAGAGGCAAUGUGAGUGACCCUUUUAGGUUCAAAGCCUCUGCUCAUUGCUGCUGUGGCUUCCAGCAUCUAACCUGAAGUCUAGUAGCCAGUGAACCGCAAAAUCAACAUUGACUUGUUGGGAACAAAUAGUUUGCAUCGCCAGAUUUUUUUGUUUUGUUUUGUUUUUGUUUUUCAGAUUCUACCUUCUCUUAAGUCAGAUAUGUACUGAGAUGAAUACACCAUAACCAUUCUUUUACGGAGGCGAAGUUAUUCUCUGAGGUAAUCGUGAAGCUGAGUCCUAGCAAAGGUUUGUAAGGAGAUGCCUAGCAGACAUUUCUAGCAUGUAACAAAUGCCACCAGGGUCACCCAGAAUGAAGAACGAAUGCCCAGACUCACGGACAGUCCCUGUUCUGAAGGCCACCAGCUGGGCCUUUCUAGGCCAAGGACCUGGGCAUUGUUGUUGAAUGGAGGAGGAGGAGCGUUCAGAGAACUCCACUGGUCAUGUAUAAAUUUGGGAAGUCCAACAGGAUCUACGGCUACCGGUUGUUAACCAUGGAAAUGGUAUGGCCAACACUUCAAAGACUUAGUGUUUCUGGAGGUCCCAGCCAGGUAAGUUUGAGAUGACUCAGACAUCGGCAUUAUUGACGCCCAUCUAAGCAUCUAUCCUAGCAUGAGGUUUUCCUCUGGUUAUGCCAAAGCUCUUUCAUGUUCUUAUUUUGUGUUGAAUGAAAACAUCGGAAUUUCCAGAAUCCCGGAUAUCUGCAUUUGAAAGACCUCAAUGGGGGACUCGGAGGUCCUUGACUUUGCCGAGCUUCAGUAAGGAGGGACAUGUCUCCUCUCUUAGGACUGUUGGGAGGACUAAGUACAACCAUACAUGUCAGUCCUGGAACAAGGCCCUGUUCAUUCCUUCAUCAGUCAGAUUUUCCUCGCUGAGACCAGACGCCAGAGAGAGAAACUCAGAGGAGCAUGUUCCAAAGCUUCUGAGGCCUUGGUCUGAUUCUGGCGGAGCAGAGGGGACAGAGGAAUACAGGAGAGGCCCAGGGAAAGCAAGCAGUAGCACUGAGGACGACAUCUCCAGUGACCGCUGCCUCCUGACUUUCACCAGUUCCCAAUGAGGCCGUCUAUGUUAACGGCUCUGGCAGGGGAAUCUAUCCACUGACAGUGUUAGAGUCCUCAGGAUCGGAUCAUUCUCCCAGACCCAUCAGCCGGGAACCAAGUCACUAACAGUUCCUACUCGGAAGACUCCCCUCGUUUGUGGGAAUGAAAGCAACAUUCUGGUUUAAGUUUCAGAACAGAAUUCAGAGCCCUGAGAGCAUGCCUUGUGCUUUGAGAACAGAAAAGCUUAGGAACUGAGAGCUCUAAGUAGCCGGCCCCUGGGGGUGGAGGUGGGGGUGAGGACCAGAACAGCGCCUAAUUUUGAAGGGAAACAGGAAGAGGUCUGAGUCACACUCAUCAGCUCUCACACCGGGAUCUCCAGGCAGCUACUUAGUAACUUUUCUAUCCUCCUCCUGUGCUGUGAAUCAAAGAGCUUAAGAUCCCAGGCUCUGGAGCCAGCCAGAAUUCUGGUGUGAACCCUAGUCCUGUCACUUUCUGGUUAUGAGACCUUGAACGGAUUGAUUAGUACCUCGAUUUCCCCUGCUGUAAAUGGGAUCAGUAAUACUGCGGACGUUUCACAGCAUGAGGGUUGAGUGAGUUAAUAAAAUGUGUUCACAAGAGAGGGAAUGCUAGCCAUCACAGUUUUAGGGCUGAAAAUGGCAUAGCCUAAGACCAGAUCAUUUUUCACCUGGACUAUUUCAUCUGUCUGUCUGUCAUAUAGAUCUAUGCUGACAGAAGUUUUUCUUUUUUCUUUUUUCUUUUUUUUUGG
rnacentral:sRNA from 1 species